rnacentral:rRNA from 1 species
UACGUAGGGAGCGAGCGUUGUCCGGAUUCAUUGGGCGUAAAGAGCUCGUAGGCGGUUCAGUAAGUCGGGUGUGAAAUCUCCGUGCUCAACACGGAGCGGCCACCUGAUACUGCUGUGACUCGAGUCCGGUAGGGGAGUGUGGAAUUCCCGGUGUAGCGGUGAAAUGCGCAGAUAUCGGGAGGAACACCAAUGGCGAAGGCAGCUCGCUGGGACGGUACUGACGCUGAGACGCGAAAGCGUGGGGAGCAAACAGGG